rnacentral:rRNA from 1 species
GACGAACGCUGGCGGCGUGCUUAACACAUGCAAGUCGAACGGAAAGGCCGUGCUUUUGUGUGUUGCUCGAAUGGCGAACGGGGGAGUAACACGGUAGUAACCUUCCCUUGACGUUGGGAUAACUUCAGGAAACUGGGGCUUAUACCGGAUUGGAGCUCCUGCUUCAAGGAGGGGGGUGGAAAGGUUCGGAGGUUGGGGAUGGACGCGCGGCUUAUCAGCUUGUUGGUGGGGUAGUGGCUUACCAAGGCUUUGGCGGGUAGCCGGCCUGGGAGGGUGACCGGCCACAUUGGGACUGAGGUACCGGCCGGAGUCAUACGGGAGGCAGCAGUGGGGAAUAUUGCACAAUGGGCGGAAGCCUGAUGCAGCAACGCCGCGUGGGAGAUGACGGCCUUCGGGUUGUAAACCGCUUUCGCCUGUGACGAAGCGUGAGUGACGGUAAUGGGUAAAGAAGCAACGGCUAACUACGUG